GAUGAACGCUAGCUACAGGCUUAACACAUGCAAGUCGAGGGGAAACGAUAGAGAAAGCUUGCUUUUUCUAGGCGUCGACCGGCGCACGGGUGAGUAACGCGUAUCCAACCUGCCCACCACUGGGGGAUAACCUUGCGAAAGUAAGACUAAUACCCAAUGAUAUCUCAAGAAGACAUCUGAAUGAGAUUAAAGAUUUAUCGGUGAUGGAUGGGGAUGCGUCUGAUUAGCUUGUUGGCGGGGUAACGGCCCACCAAGGCGACGAUCAGUAGGGGUUCUGAGAGGAAGGUCCCCCACAUUGGAACUGAGACACGGUCCAAACGCCUACGGGAGGCAGCAGUGAGGAAUAUUGGUCAAUGGGCGAGAGCCUGAACCAGCCAAGUAGCGUGCAGGAUGACGGCCCUAUGGGUUGUAAACUGCUUUUAUAAGGGAAUAAAGUGAGUCUCGUGAGGCUUUUUGCAUGUACCUUAUGAAUAAGGACCGGCUAAUUCCGUGCCAGCCGCCGCAGUAA
rnacentral:rRNA from 1 species